rnacentral:rRNA from 1 species
GACUCUCGGCAAUGGAUAUCUCAGCUCUCGCAUUGAUGAAGAACCUAGCGAAAUGCGAUACUUGGUGUGAAUUGCAGAAUCCCGUGCCGUUCUUUGCCUUGAAGAUCAACUACACCCAUUUGAUAUUAGUUUUGGCGCUA